rnacentral:rRNA from 1 species
CAUGGCUCAGGACGAACGCUGGCGGCGUGCCUAAUACAUGCAAGUAGAACGCUGAAGAGAGGAGCUUGCUCUUCUUGGAUGAGUUGCGAACGGGUGAGUAACGCGUAGGUAACCUGUCUGGUAGCGGGGGAUAACUAUUGGAAACGAUAGAUAAUACCGCAUGACAUUGAUUAUCGACUGAUAAUUGAUUGAAAGGUGCAAUUGCAGCACUACCAGAUGGACCUGCGUUGUAUUAGCUAGUUGGUGAGGUAACGGCUCACCAAGGCGACGAUACAUAGCCGACCUGAGAGGGUGAUCAGCCACACUGGGACUGAGACACGGCCCAGACUCCUACGG